CCAUACCUACGGGGGGCAGCAGUAGGGAAUCUUCCACAAUGGACGAAAGUCUGAUGGAGCAACGCCGCGUGAGUGAAGAAGGGUUUCGGCUCGUAAAGCUCUGUUGGUAGUGAAGAAAGAUAGAGGUAGUAACUGGCCUUUAUUUGACGGUAAUUACUUAGAAAGUCACGGCUAAAUACGUGCCAGCAGCCGCGGUAAUACGUAGGUGGCAAGCGUUGUCCGGGUUUAUUGGGCGUAAAGCGAGUGCAGGCGGUUCAAUAAGGGUGAUGUGAA
rnacentral:rRNA from 1 species